GUCCCAUAGAUACAAUGGCACAUAUUCAAAUGACAUAUGAAGAGUUAGUUGUUCAUUGAAACUUUGUUUAUAGUUACAGAAUAUGAUAAACAAUAUAAGUGGCAUCAGUGUGACUUUUGGAUAGAAGGUAGUUAUGUCACAAUGGAAUGUUCUUUAACCAUAAAAAAGGAAGAAGAAUGAGGGACCUAAGUAUCAGCAAAGAACAAUCCCUGGGGACACAGCAAAGAAAAGUAAACAUAGCACCUUAUAGACUCUGAAUUGUGAAAGCAAUACAUGCAAAACUUGGAAAUAUUUCUCUGGUUCAUAUAAUGGUUGCUGGCAUUGAAUGGACCCAGAAUAGGCAAGUCUUUUCUGAUUAUGAAGUUUAGAAUAGCUUUUUU
rnacentral:lncRNA from 1 species